CGCGUAGGCGGCCAUCUAAGUCAGACGUGAAAUCCCCCGGCUUAACCUGGGAACUGCGUCUGAUACUGGACGGCUUGAGUAUGGGAGAGGGAUGUAGAAUUCCAGGUGUAGCGGUGAAAUGCGUAGAUAUCUGGAGGAAUACCGGUGGCGAAGGCGGCAUCCUGGACCAUUACUGACGCUGAUGCGCGAAAGCUAGGGGAGCAAACG
rnacentral:rRNA from 1 species